UGGCUGGAGACAUAGCUCAGUUGGUAAAGUGCUUGCCUUAUAAGCAGGAGGACCUGGGUUCAAACCCCAGGACAGGCAU